AUUGAACGCUGGCGGCAGGCUUAACACAUGCAAGUCGAGCGAGCGGCGGACGGGUGAGUAACGUCUGGGAAACUGCCUGAUGGAGGGGGAUAACUACUGGACACGGUAGCUAAUACCGCAUACCACCAGAUGUGCCCAGAUGGGAGUAGCUAGUCGGUGGGGUAAUGGCUCACCUGGGCGACGAUCCCUAGCUGGUCUGAGAGGAUGCCAGGCCACGCUGGAACCGAGGCACGGGCCGUACUCCUACGGGAGGCAGCAGUGGGGAAUAUUGCACAAUGGGCGCAAGCCUGAUGCAGCCAUGCCGCGUGUGUAGAGAAGGCCUUCGGGUUGUAAAGCACUUUCAGCGAGGAGGCGAUAAUCUCAGGAGGAGCACCGACUAACUCCGUGCCAGCAGCCGCGGUAAUUC
rnacentral:rRNA from 1 species